CCUGGUGUCUCAGAGUGUAAAGAAUCUGCCUGCAAUGCAGGAGAUCUGGGUUCAAUCCCUGGGUCAGGA
rnacentral:tRNA from 1 species